rnacentral:rRNA from 2 species
AGAGUUUGAUCCUGGCUCAGGACGAACGCUGGCGGCGUGCCUAAUACAUGCAAGUCGAACGAACUCUGGUAUUGAUUGGUGCUUGCAUCAUGAUUUACAUUUGAGUGAGUGGCGAACUGGUGAGUAACACGUGGGAAACCUGCCCAGAAGCGGGGGAUAACACCUGGAAACAGAUGCUAAUACCGCAUAACAACUUGGACCGCAUGGUCCGAGUUUGAAAGAUGGCUUCGGCUAUCACUUUUGGAUGGUCCCGCGGCGUAUUAGCUAGAUGGUGAGGUAACGGCUCACCAUGGCAAUGAUACGUAGCCGACCUGAGAGGGUAAUCGGCCACAUUGGGACUGAGACACGGCCCAAACUCCUACGGGAGGCAGCAGUAGGGAAUCUUCCACAAUGGACGAAAGUCUGAUGGAGCAACGCCGCGUGAGUGAAGAAGGGUUUCGGCUCGUAAAACUCUGUUGUUAAAGAAGAACAUAUCUGAGAGUAACUGUUCAGGUAUUGACGGUAUUUAACCAGAAAGCCACGGCUAACUACGUGCCAGCAGCCGCGGUAAUACGUAGGUGGCAAGCGUUGUCCGGAUUUAUUGGGCGUAAAGCGAGCGCAGGCGGUUUUUUAAGUCUGAUGUGAAAGCCUUCGGCUCAACCGAAGAAGUGCAUCGGAAACUGGGAAACUUGAGUGCAGAAGAGGACAGUGGAACUCCAUGUGUAGCGGUGAAAUGCGUAGAUAUAUGGAAGAACACCAGUGGCGAAGGCGGCUGUCUGGUCUGCAACUGACGCUGAGGCUCGAAAGUAUGGGUAGCAAACAGGAUUAGAUACCCUGGUAGUCCAUACCGUAAACGAUGAAUGCUAAGUGUUGGAGGGUUUCCGCCCUUCAGUGCUGCAGCUAACGCAUUAAGCAUUCCGCCUGGGGAGUACGGCCGCAAGGCUGAAACUCAAAGGAAUUGACGGGGGCCCGCACAAGCGGUGGAGCAUGUGGUUUAAUUCGAAGCUACGCGAAGAACCUUACCAGGUCUUGACAUACUAUGCAAAUCUAAGAGAUUAGACGUUCCCUUCGGGGACAUGGAUACAGGUGGUGCAUGGUUGUCGUCAGCUCGUGUCGUGAGAUGUUGGGUUAAGUCCCGCAACGAGCGCAACCCUUAUUAUCAGUUGCCAGCAUUAAGUUGGGCACUCUGGUGAGACUGCCGGUGACAAACCGGAGGAAGGUGGGGAUGACGUCAAAUCAUCAUGCCCCUUAUGACCUGGGCUACACACGUGCUACAAUGGAUGGUACAACGAGUUGCGAACUCGCGAGAGUAAGCUAAUCUCUUAAAGCCAUUCUCAGUUCGGAUUGUAGGCUGCAACUCGCCUACAUGAAGUCGGAAUCGCUAGUAAUCGCGGAUCAGCAUGCCGCGGUGAAUACGUUCCCGGGCCUUGUACACACCGCCCGUCACACCAUGAGAGUUUGUAACACCCAAAGUCGGUGGGGUAACCUUUUAGGAACCAGCCGCCUAAGGUGGGACAGAUGAUUAGGGUGAAGUCGUAACAAGGUAAC